rnacentral:rRNA from 1 species
UACAGAGGGUGCGAGCGUUAAUCGGAAUUACUGGGCGUAAAGCGCGCGUAGGCGGCUUUGCAAGUCGGGUGUGAAAUCCCCAGGCUUAACCUGGGAACUGCAUUCGAGACUGCAUUGCUAGAGUAUGGGAGAGGGAAGUGGAAUUUCCGGUGUAGCGGUGAAAUGCGUAGAUAUCGGGAGGAACACCAGUGGCGAAGGCGGCGAUCUGGGCAGACACUGACGCUGAGGUACGAAAGCGUGGGGAGCAAACAGG